AAGAGAGUUGAAGGCUGUGGAUGUAGCUCAGUGGUAGACUUCUUGUCUACCAUGCGUGAGUCUCCAGCUUUGACCAGCACUGGUGGGGAAAAAUAAGAAAGUGGCAGCCUAAAGCAUCUCACCAAAGUCACAAAAGCAGAUCUUUCAGUGCAGGAAAGAACCAGCCUCGACCCUUCUCGAGACUUCUGCC
rnacentral:lncRNA from 1 species